rnacentral:ncRNA from 17 species
AAUAAAGAAAAAACCUCUUUCUGUAUAAUGCCGAUAAUAAGGUUCGGCAGUUUCUACCAAACAGCCGUAAACUGUUUGACUACAGUAAGAGGGGUCUGAGAU